UCUAAUACCGGAUACGAGUUCCACGGGCAUCCGUGGGACUGGAAAGCUCCGGCGGUGCAGGAUGAGCCCGCGGCCUAUCAGCUUGUUGGUGAGGUAAUGGCUCACCAAGGCGACGACGGG
rnacentral:rRNA from 1 species